rnacentral:pre_miRNA from 1 species
GAUUUCAACUGAAAAAGUCAUCAAUAAGAAAGUUGUAUAACUCAUCAAGAUCUAUAACUUCUAUUUUGGUCAUUUCUUCAUCCGACAAGAGGGAUUUGUAAGAUUGUUUACAAAAUGUACAUCUCUUAUAUAGUUUUUAAGAGAUGUACAUUUUAUGAACAAUUUUACAAAUCACUUUAUUGGAUGAAGAAAUGACCAAAAUAGAAGUUAUAGAUCUUGAUGAGUUAUACAACUUUGUUAUUGAUGACUUUUUUAGUUGAAAUC